UGUGCGUCGGGGGCUGACCUGCGGGCGGGCUCCGCGCAUCCCGCCUGGCGCGUGCUCUGCAGCCUGACAAAGCUCUGCAUUGCAAUAAAGUCAGCUAAUCCAGCACCUGCCUGUAUGAAGAAGGCUUCCUCUGGCUUGAUGAAUACGGCGCAUUCUAACCUGGCUGGGAGUUGCA